GAUAGAUAGAUAGAUAGAUAGAUAGAUAGAUAGAUAGAUAGCAGGGGCGUGCACUCUCAAGCAAGCAAGAGCAAUCCCAUAAUUCCUGCGUUGGCCAUCUGAAAUGUCGGAAUAAUCUGGCGGUGCAAACAAAAGCGGCUAUUUAUACAGAAACUAAUGAUGUGCACUGUGACAUUUUGUUAUUUGAUCAUGGAAAGUUAAAAACUACAAGCUCACUUUUCCUUUUGAACAUGACUAUGUCAUCUUAAAAAUGAUUGAAACUGGCAGCAUAUUUGAUAGAAAUGUAAAUAUUUCGGGGUUUUUUUUGUUUAUAAUAAAGUUCUCAAAGCAUCAUUUUGUUUUGUUUUUUGUUUUUUUUUUAUAAAUUUGCAUUUGAAAACUUGUUUUCUUAACGAAACACUUUCAAACUUGGGACACUGGUAGAAUGUGUCAUAUAAAACUAGAG